rnacentral:rRNA from 1 species
AGUGGCGGACGGGUGAGUAACGCGUGGGUAACCUACCUCAUACAGGGGGAUAACAGUUGGAAACGACCGCUAAUACCGCAUAACCCGCUAGUAUCGCAUGAUACAGACGGAAAAGAUUUAUCGGUGUGAGAUGGACCCGCGUCUGAUUAGCCAGUUGGCAGGGUAACGGCCUACCAAAGCAACGAUCAGUAGCCGGCCUGAGAGGGUGAACGGCCACAUUGGGACUGAGACACGGCCCAAACUCCUACGGGAGGCAGCAG